ACAGAUAUGGAUCAUAUGAAGGAAAAUGAUCGGCCGAUCGACUUUAUGAAAAUGAAAGAAAUGUUUUAGUAAGCGCAGGUCUUUCAAGAAAACCCCUGUGUGUUACUGUUAUGGCAGUUCAAUUUAUAUAUAUGUUAUGCAUGAUUGUAUUUUCGGCUAUGCCCACUGAGUAUUUUUAUACUCAGCCCUGCAUGUAUUUCUAAAUGUGCAGGUUGAGCAGUUGAUGGAAUGGAAUGAUGUUGAGCGGGUGUUCCUUUGACAUUUCAAGAAAUGUAACCUUGAGUAUACAUCUUCAUAUGUAUAUCUCACACGUUUUCC
rnacentral:lncRNA from 1 species